GACGUAGGGCGCGAGCGUUGUCCGGAUUUAUUGGGCGUAAAGAGCUCGUAGGCGGCUUGUCGCGUCGACUGUGAAAACCCGCGGCUUAACCGGGGAACUGCGUCUGAUACUGGAUGGCUUGAGGUUGGGAGAGGGAUGCGGAAUUCCAGGUGUAGCGGUGAAAUGCGUAGAUAUCUGGAGGAACACCGGUGGCGAAGGCGGCAUCCUGGACCAAUUCUGACACUGAGGAGCGAAAGCCAGGGGAGCAAACGGG
rnacentral:rRNA from 1 species